rnacentral:rRNA from 1 species
AUUGAACGCUGGCGGAAUGCUUUACACAUGCAAGUCGAACGGCAGCACGGACUUCGGUCUGGUGGCGAGUGGCGAACGGGUGAGUAACAUAUCGGAACGUAUCCAAUAAUGGGGGAUAACGAGUCGAAAGAUUCGCUAAUACCGCAUACGCCCUACGGGGGCAAGCUGGGGACCUUCGGGCCUGGCGUUAAUGGAGCGGCGGAUAUCUGAUUAGCUAGUUGGUUAGGUAAAGGCUAACCAAGGCGACGAUCAGUAGCUGGUCUGAGAGGACGACCAGCCACACUGGAACUGAGACACGGUCCAGACUCCUACGGGAGGCAGCAGUGGGGAAUUUUGGACAAUGGGCGCAAGCCUGAUCCAGCCAUUCCGCGUGAGUGAAGAAGGCCUUCGGGUUGUAAAGCUCUUUCGCAAGGGAAGAAAACUUAGCCACUAACAUUGGUUGAGGUUGACGGUACCUUGAUAAGAAGCACCGGCUAACUACGUGCCAGCAGCCGCCGUAA